AAUCCAUGCAUCGGACAUUUCCGAAUUAAGUCUUUAAAUUAUUCCCAAACUUCAUAUAGUGUUUUAUCCUCUGAUUGUUAAAUAAAUGUGAUGUCAUUUCUAAGCUU
rfam:Gossypium raimondii chromosome 7, whole genome shotgun sequence.